CAAACGAUUAGCCUCACCAAUCAGAAUCAUUGCAGCUAAUCCACAGAAGGUGUACCUGAUAUACAAAUUGUCAAAAUAAGAAUGCUUCGCAUACCUCCUUUUUGUUUUAAUUCCACCUAUCUUGGUGAAGAGGUAUAAUAAGAGGAAGGGAGGGUGGGAGGGAAAGAGAAUGAUGAUACAUACCCACCAUGAGCCUCAGAACCAGGCUCACCUCCAAUGCCACCCUCAUAUGUUUGACAGCUGCAGAAAAGCACCAGAUUAUAAAAAUGUAUUUACAUAACUUUUCAUAACAAUUACAUAAGAAGUAAUUAAUUAUGGAGAACGUUAACAAUUGUCAAUCUAAAGUAAAAAUUUGUAUGGAUAGUGUUACCAGUGCACUACUACAAUGUUUUCCAAUGAAACCCACCAUGAUUUUCA
rnacentral:lncRNA from 1 species